AUGCAUGUCUAAGUACAUACUUUUACAUAGUGAAACCGCGAAUGGCUCAUUAAAUCAGUUAUGGUUCCUUGGAUCGUACACUCCUACUUGGAUAACUGUGGCAAUUCUAGAGCUAAUACAUGCAACAAAGCUCCGACCUUCGGGGAAGAGCGCUUUUAUUAGAUCAAGACCAAUACGGGCCUCGUGUCCGUUCAAUUUGGUGACUCUGGAUAACUUUGGGCUGAUCGCAUGGCCUCGAGCCGGCGACGUAUCUUUCAAAUGUCUGCCCUAUCAACUUUCGAUGGUACGUGAUAUGCCUACCAUGGUUGUAACGGGUAACGGGGAAUUAGGGUUCGAUUCCGGAGAGGGAGCAUGAGAAACGGCUACCACA
rnacentral:rRNA from 1 species